UGGGGAAUAUUGGACAAUGGGGGCAACCCUGAUCCAGCAAUGCCGCGUGUGUGAAGAAGGUCUUCGGAUUGUAAAGCACUUUCGACGGGGACGAUGAUGACGGUACCCGUAGAAGAAGCCCCGGCUAACUUCGUGCCAGCAGCCGCGGUAAUACGAAGGGGGCUAGCGUUGCUCGGAAUGACUGGGCGUAAAGGGCGUGUAGGCGGUUUACACAGUCAGAUGUGAAAUCCCCGGGCUUAACCUGGGAGCUGCAUUUGAUACGUGUAGACUAGAGUGUGAGAGAGGGUUGUGGAAUUCCCAGUGUAGAGGUGAAAUUCGUAGAUAUUGGGAAGAACACCGGUGGCGAAGGCGGCAACCUGGCUCAUGACUGACGCUGAGGCGCGAAAGCGUGGGGAGCAAACAGGUUAGGAUACCCUGGUAGUCCACGCUGUAAACGAUGUGUGCUAGAUGUUGGGUAACUUUGUUAUUCAGUGUCGCAGU
rnacentral:rRNA from 1 species